AUUGAACGCUGGCGGCAUGCCUUACACAUGCAAGUCGAACGGUAACAGGCCGCAAGGUGCUGACGAGUGGCGAACGGGUGAGUAAUGCAUCGGAACGUGCCCAGUCGUGGGGGAUAACUGCUCGAAAGAGCAGCUAAUACCGCAUACGACCUGAGGGUGAAAGCGGGGGACCGUAAGGCCUCGCGCGAUCGGAGCGGCGGAUGUCAGAUUAGCUAGUUGGUGGGGUAAAGGCCUACCUAGGCAACGAUCUGUAGUUGGUCUGAGAGGACGACCAGCCACACUGGGACUGAGACACGGCCCAGACUCCUACGGGAGGCAGCAGUGGGGAAUUUUGGACAAUGGGCGCAAGCCUGAUCCAGCAAUGCCGCGUGCAGGAAGAAGGCCUUCGGGUUGUAAACUGCUUUUGUCAGGGAAGAAAUCUUCUGGGCUAAUACCCCGGGAGGAUGACGGUACCUGAAGAAUAAGCACCGGCUAACUACGUGCCAGCCGCCGCCGUAAUAC
rnacentral:rRNA from 1 species